rnacentral:rRNA from 1 species
UACGUAGGGUGCGAGCGUUAAUCGGAAUUACUGGGCGUAAAGCGUGCGCAGGCGGUUCGUGAUGUCUGGUGUGAAAGCCCCGGGCUUAACCUGGGAAUUGCAUUGGAAACUAGCGGGCUGGAGUGUGGCAGAGGGGGGUGGAAUUCCACGUGUAGCAGUGAAAUGCGUAGAGAUCAGGAAGAACAUCGGUGGCGAAGGCGCUCUGCUGGACCAUAACUGACACUCAGGGACGAAAGCUAGGGGAGCGAAUGGG